UACAGAGGUCCCGAGCGUUGUUCGGAUUUAUUGGGCGUAAAGGGUGCGUAGGCGGCGGAGUAAGUUGGGUGUGAAAUCCCGGGGCUCAACCUCGGAAUGGCAUUCAAUACUGCUUCGCUAGAGUACUGGAGAGGAGGCUGGAAUUUACGGUGUAGCAGUGAAAUGCGUAGAUAUCGUAAGGAAGGCCGGUGGCGAAAGCGAGCCUCUGGACAGUUACUGACGCUGAUGCACGAAGGCCAGGGGGAGCAAAACGGGG
rnacentral:rRNA from 1 species